rnacentral:lncRNA from 1 species
UAUAUGAAAUAUAUGUCACAUAUUUUAAAAAAUUGAGCACAAUAUAUAAACUAAUCCCAAGGUGGAGGGUUUUCCCAAAGUAUACUUUAUUAAAACAUGUAGAUUUUCCUCUUUCAAAUAUAAUAUACUGCAAACUAUUAGAAUGGUUGAAUUAGAAUGCUUUUGGUUGCAAGCAAUAGAAACCUAACUUGAUUACAGAAAAUGGUGGUUCAUUGGAAGGACCUUGGGCUGAUUCCUUACAGAAUGAGAGAAAGAAUGGAACACUUCAGGCUGCAUGUGGCAGAAAUGGAGCUAGCCUGGGGGUUGAUUGACUGACUCUCUAGAGGCAGGGACCUGGCAAGAUUGACUCCAUAUUGCAUUGCAGCAUUCCUCAAUAUAGAGGUUUCACCCUUUUUCAGUUAAAGAUGACCUCCUCUGUAGAGAAGGUGGCCAUAAAUCCCUCCAAAAUAAUAACUUUCAGCUGAGUGUG